CGGCGAGUGAAGCGGUAACAGCUCAAAUUUGAAAUCUGGCUCCUCUGGAGUCCGAGUUGUAAUUUGUAGAAGAUGCUUUGGGUUGUGGGUUCGGCCUAAGUUCCUUGGAACAGGACGUCAUAGAGGGUGAGAAUCCCGUAUGCGGCCGAGGCCCGCGCCUAUGUAAAGCUCUUUCAACGAGUCGAGUUGUUUGGGAAUGCAGCUCAAAAUGGGUGGUAAAUUUCAUCUAAAGCUAAAUAUGGGCCAGAGACCGAUAGCGCACAAGUAGAGUGAUCGAAAGAUGAAAAGCACUUUGGAAAGAGAGUUAAACAGUACGUGAAAUUGUUGAAAGGGAAGCGCUUGCACCCAGACUUGGGCGCUGCUGAUCACCUUGCGGUCUCCGCGAGUGCACUCGACAGCGCACAGGCCAGCAUCGGUUCGGGUGGCUGGAUAAAGGCCGUAGGAACGUAGCUCCCUUCGGGGAGUGUUAUAGCCUAGGGUGCCAUGCAGCCCAGCCGGACCGAGGACCGCGCCUUCGGGCUAGGAUGCUGGCGUAAUGGGUGUAAGCGACCCGUCUUGAAACACGGACCAAGGAGUCUAACAUCUAUGCGAGUGUUUGGGUGGUAAACCCAUACGCGGAAUGAAAGUGAACGUAGGUGAGAACCCCUUUGGGGCGCAUCAUCGACCGAUCCUGAUGUCUUCGGAUGGAUUUGAGUAAGAGCAUAGC
rnacentral:rRNA from 1 species